CGAGUGGCGGACGGGUGAGUAACGUAUCGGAACGUACCCAGUCGUGGGGGAUAACUAUCCGAAAGGAUAGCUAAUACCGCAUACGACCUGAGGGUGAAAGCGGGGGAUCGCAAGACCUCGCGCGAUUGGAGCGGCCGAUAUCGGAUUAGCUAGUUGGUGGGGUAAAGGCUCACCAAGGCGACGAUCCGUAGCUGGUUUGAGAGGACGACCAGCCACACUGGGACUGAGACACGGCCCAGACUCC
rnacentral:rRNA from 1 species